rnacentral:misc_RNA from 1 species
GCUGUCGCACAAGAUUUUCAAAGGUUAUCCUCUGUAACCCCACUCUGUAUAUCUCGCCAAAUCGCUUCUGGGUUUACUUUAUUUUGUGGUUUGCAUUUUGGGUUCAUGCAGUUUUGCAAGAUUUUGCUUCCCCAUUUUGGCGGCUUUGCCACCUGGUCAUCUCAUUCUUUCUGAGUUUUUAACAAAUUCAAGAUUUUAAUAUGAUGUUCCGUUUCAUUUUCCAAGAUUUUGAUGUAGAAUAGGUCUUAUUUUUCCCUAUUUAUUUUCUCAGCAACCAAACACAGAUUUGCUGCUCUCUCCUAAAUGAUCAUACAAAAUCAUUUCCUGUUUUUGUUGGUUCAAUCCUUUUUCUUGCGUUCAUCACAUAUGCUCUGUUUCUUCGACCUCCAGUUUUGCUUUUACAUUCCCAGGUUGAUUUUACAUUUUCUUUUAAAC